rnacentral:rRNA from 1 species
AGACCCGAAACCCGGUGAUCUAGCCAUGGGCAGGUUGAAGGUUGGGUAACACUAACUGGAGGACCGAACCGACUAAUGUUGAAAAAUUAGCGGAUGACCUGUGGCUGGGGGUGAAAGGCCAAUCAAACCGGGAGAUAGCUGGUUCUCCCCGAAAGCUAUUUAGGUAGCGCCUCGUGAAUUCAUCUCCGGGGGUAGAGCACUGUUUCGGCUAGGGGGCCAUCCCGGCUUACCAACCCGAUGCAAACUGCGAAUACCGGAGAAUGUUAUCACGGGAGACACACGGCGGGUGCUAACGUCCGUCGUGAAGAGGGAAACAACCCAGACCGCCAGCUAAGGUCCCAAAGUCAUGGUUAAGUGGGAAACGAUGUGGGAAGGCCCAGACAGCCAGGAUGUUGGCUUAGAAGCAGCCAUCAUUUAAAGAAAGCGUAAUAGCUCACUGGUCGAGUCGGCCUGCGCGGAAGAUGUAACGGGGCUAAACCAUGCACCGAAGCUGCGGCAGCGACACUCAGGUGUUGUUGGGUAGGGGAGCGUUCUGUAAGCCUGUGAAGGUGGCCUGUGAGGGUUGCUGGAGGUAUCAGAAGUGCGAAUGCUGACAUAAGUAACGAUAAAGCGGGUGAAAAGCCCGCUCGCCGGAAGACCAAGGGUUCCUGUCCAACGUUAAUCGGGGCAGGGUGAGUCGACCCCUAAGGCGAGGCCGAAAGGCGUAGUCGAUGGGAAACGGGUUAAUAUUCCCGUACUUGGUGUUACUGCGAAGGGGGGACGGAGAAGGCUAUGUUGGCCGGGCGACGGUUGUCCCGGUUUAAGCGUGUAGGUGUGUGUUCCAGGUAAAUCCGGUUCACUUUAACACUGAGGCGUGACGACGAGGCACUACGGUGCUGAAGCAACAAAUGCCCUGCUUCCAGGAAAAGCCUCUAAGCAUCAGGUAACAUCAAAUCGUACCCCAAACCGACACAGGUGGUCAGGUAGAGAAUACCAAGGCGCUUGAGAGAACUCGGGUGAAGGAACUAGGCAAAAUGGUGCCGUAACUUCGGGAGAAGGCACGCUGACAUGUAGGUGAAGUGAUUUACUCACGGAGCUGAAGUCAGUCGAAGAUACCAGCUGGCUGCAACUGUUUAUUAAAAACACAGCACUGUGCAAACACGAAAGUGGACGUAUACGGUGUGACGCCUGCCCGGUGCCGGAAGGUUAAUUGAUGGGGUCAGCGCAAGCGAAGCUCCUGAUCGAAGCCCCGGUAAACGGCGGCCGUAACUAUAACGGUCCUAAGGUAGCGAAAUUCCUUGUCGGGUAAGUUCCGACCUGCACGAAUGGCGUAAUGAUGGCCAGGCUGUCUCCACCCGAGACUCAGUGAAAUUGAACUCGCUGUGAAGAUGCAGUGUACCCGCGGCAAGACGGAAAGACCCCGUGAACCUUUACUAUAGCUUGACACUGAACAUUGAGCCUUGAUGUGUAGGAUAGGUGGGAGGCUUUGAAGUGUGGACGCCAGUCUGCAUGGAGCCGACCUUGAAAUACCACCCUUUAAUGUUUGAUGUUCUAACGUGGACCCGUAAUCCGGGUUGCGGACAGUGUCUGGUGGGUAGUUUGACUGGGGCGGUCUCCUCCUAAAGAGUAACGGAGGAGCACGAAGGUUGGCUAAUCCUGGUCGGACAUCAGGAGGUUAGUGCAAUGGCAUAAGCCAGCUUGACUGCGAGCGUGACGGCGCGAGCAGGUGCGAAAGCAGGUCAUAGUGAUCCGGUGGUUCUGAAUGGAAGGGCCAUCGCUCAACGGAUAAAAGGUACUCCGGGGAUAACAGGCUGAUACCGCCCAAGAGUUCAUAUCGACGGCGGUGUUUGGCACCUCGAUGUCGGCUCAUCACAUCCUGGGGCUGAAGUAGGUCCCAAGGGUAUGGCUGUUCGCCAUUUAAAGUGGUACGCGAGCUGGGUUUAGAACGUCGUGAGACAGUUCGGUCCCUAUCUGCCGUGGGCGCUGGAGAACUGAGGGGGGCUGCUCCUAGUACGAGAGGACCGGAGUGGACGCAUCACUGGUGUUCGGGUUGUCAUGCCAAUGGCACUGCCCGGUAGCUAAAUGCGGAAGAGAUAAGUGCUGAAAGCAUCUAAGCACGAAACUUGCCCCGA